AGUUGCUCAUUCAAUUUUUUAUGUCGGCCCGCACUAUGGCGGAAACAUGCCACAUAAGCCCGGGAAUGAUGCCAGAGUAAGGUGCCUACCGUCCGUUAAUACCGAUAACUGCGCAAGCUUUAUCAGACACAGGGCGACACGUUGAGUGAGGCACCACCUU
rfam:Morganella morganii subsp. morganii KT, complete genome.